rnacentral:lncRNA from 1 species
UUUGAGUUGCUUUGCAUUAGUUUUUUUUCAUUUAUAUAUAGCUGAUUCUAAUACCUAAAGAAAAUCAAGUCGAUUAGUAUGUGUUUUAUAGGUCUAUCUAAUAGUCCAAUUAGAUGUUACUCAGUUUGAUCGCAUGAAUUGUAAGUUUAAGCAAUUGUGAGUAAAUUAAAUGUUAAUAUAAGUUAUUUGCAUUUUGCUUUGAUUCUGAUUUGCAUGUUCCAUUAUUAGGGCUCCCUAGUCAUCAACGAGAAGUUUAAGGGGACGGUAGUUGAGUCUAUUGUUGAACUUGUUUGCUCUUCUGGUUUAGUUGUUUGUAAUUAACAAAAGUUAAAUGGGUCAAAAGAAUUUGGAAA